rnacentral:rRNA from 1 species
GUGGGUAGUUUAACCUUUCGAGGAGGACGCUCACCACUUUGUGGUUCAUGACUGGGGUGAAGUCGUAACAAGGUAGCCCUAGGGGAACCUGGGGCUGGAUCACCUCCUUAUACGAAGAUACC